GGCUAGUCAUCUAACUCUUUGACGAAUAGUAUUUUGUUGCAAAGUGAGCGUUAAAAACAAAAAGCAGCAAGUGGUUUGGUGUGAUUUCCAAAAUUACUAGCUUGAACGCGGUAUUUAUCAAACAAUAAUUAAAAUGCAUUGUAAGUUAUUUUUUGACAACAAACUGUAACAACAUUGAUCAGAGUUUGGCGAUAGUCUCCUGAUGUGUGUCCAAUGAUCACACCGUGUGCUGGAUUGAAAUCAGCGCGGGAAGCUUCGCAGCCAUGGCGGAGGCAGACGAUUUACGUAAUUUUAACGAACUGAGGCAAAAAUACAUUCACAGCAUUGCACAGAAUAUCGGUGAGGCACGCACCCUCAUGAUCAAAUUGAACAGUAACUUGCAAGCUUGGACUGAGAGGACGGGAGAGUUGGAACAUUUAGCCAAGGUGUGGGCCACGUUUCAGAACAGGCUGGCAUGCGUCUCAGCAGUAUUGGGAGACGUUGAGGAGGACAGGACAGAGACUGGCAUAGUGUCACCGACGAGCUCAGAUGCACAGACUGGUGCUGAAGACGGUUGAAUGUCACGUAGUCAUACCUUGCCCACGGCACAGUCUCCUCAAAUGUCACAAUAUCCUAACAUUGCUGCAAUAUAGUGGUUAAACAAUUUAUCACAACCCUUGAUAUUUGUUGGAUAGUUUACUAUUACUGGGGCCCCAGAAUAACCAAAGUAGGUUUUCCCGAGGAGGAAUCCACCUGAGACAGGCAGUUUGUCUUCCUACAAAUUCUAGCUACAUUCCAUUACAACCCACCACCUGACAUCUGUUGCUCACAUUCCUUUCUCUAGUCUAAACUCCUAUCAUAAAUUAUUAGUAUUUUGUGUAAUCUCUGAAAUCAAAGAAUAGUUAUUCUAAAACAGGAUAGAAGCAUAACCCAUUGGUUCAUAGAGAUCAAGUGAUAAGUCAAAACACAUUUUGGCUUCACAAUUGAUGCUUGAUGGCUUUGCCUAUCACAGUGUUGCAUUUGAUGUUUUUUCCUGUCAGAAAAAAACUUGUUUGAAUAAUUGGGUUCAUUCCAGGUUCAGUGUGAAGACAACCUGCAAUAAAAAUUGAACGGUUAUGA